UUCCCAUAGACCCUAAUAUCUCCAUCUUCUUCAAAUAAUACCGAUCUGCGCAUCCUUCAUUCAUCAUUAUCUUUAGCGUUUCAUGCACACAUUGUGGCUUCUCUAACCUUCAUCAACUACUAUUUCUUGCACCGGUAACAUCCUUAAGAUUUGAAAUGUUGAAUUAGUUCAUUAUCGGUCCAGUAGGCAGAUUACAUAAGGUCUUUAUCUAGAGCCAUAACUGGCACUACUUUAACUAAUUCCUUGCUCCGGCUUCCUAUCAGUGGAAACAUUCAGGUUAAUGUAAAAGAUGAAGCAGAUGCUCUGGAUCCAGUGGUUAAAACUGCGGAUAUGAUAGUUCACCAAAUGCAUAUGUUUUUGCCUUAGGUAAAUGGUACAAGUGUGACUUUUAGACGUGAGUUUAGUGCCAACUUUUCACAACAUAUAUAUAUAUAUAU